CCUACGGGGUGCUGCAGUGGGGAAUAUUGCACAAUGGGCGAAAGCCUGAUGCAGCAACGCCGCGUGAGCGAUGAAGGCCUUCGGGUCGUAAAGCUCUGUCCUCAAGGCAGAUACUGCCGGUACUUGUGGAGGAAGCCCCGGCGAACUACGUGCCAGCAGCCGCGGUAAUACGUAGGGGGCUAGCGUUAUCCGGAAUUACGGGGCGUAAAGGGUGCGUAGGUGGUUUGUUAAGUCAGAGGUGAAAGGCUACGGCUCAACCGUAGUAAGCUUUUGAAACUGGGGAACUUGAGUGCAGGAGAGGAAGGUGGAAUUCCUGGUGUAGCGGUGAAAGGCGUAGAUAUUAGGAGGAACACCAGUUGCGAAGGCGGCUCUCUGGACUGUAACUGACACUGAGGCACGAAAGCGUGGGGAGCAAACAGGAUUAGAUACCCCAGUAGUC
rnacentral:rRNA from 1 species